AGCGCGCAUCUUCUUUUUCGCCGCGUUGGAUCGACUGCAGGAAGAGCAGAUGCCCGACUACGAACCUUCGCCUGUGGAUAUCACACAUGCCAGAGCAGGCGGGCAGACGCGAUCCACUGUCGUAAAGACGCAUCGUUCGCGUCCACUCUCAGUCCCAAGGACGGUUGAGGAAUAAAUAGCGAGAACCUAAAGCGGGAGCAGGUAGUGGUGUUUAUUCUUUUGCCACACACACGCACACACACACACACACACACACACACACACACACACUAACACACACACACACACACACACACACAUACACACACACACGCACACACGUUCCAAUGAAGAGUUUCGGAGGAGGACUUAUGAGGAAUACUGGGCAUCAGCACUAGAUACCGAAGGAUUCUCACUCGGCCACUGCUGCUGCUGUUGCGGAGCACCGUGUGAGUGCGAUCGGCUUUGGAAUACAGCGAUGUGAGAAACCAAUGUGGAUACGACGUGGAUAUAUGGAGAGGCACUUCGGCAGUCUUUGAACAUAUCGGACAUCCAUCUGCAACGGCAUGUUCGUAUAAGGCUCCGUGAUCUGGCACUGCUUUUUUCCCUUCUUUUUUUUUGUCUUGGUUCGGUGUUUUUUUUUGUAGGAGAUCAAUGGAAACGGUAUUAUUCAUCCGCAUCAGACCCCUGAUUGUUUUGAUUUAGUUUUUGGUUUUGUUUGGUGUUUUGGUGCACACGAGUGGAAUGCCUCGCAUCAGAGCGUCUCGGUGUGGAGGAGACUCCGCGCGGGGCUGAACGGACGGCUCCCCUCUCCUCUCCUCUCCCGCUGCUGGAGACGUGCGAUGGAUGGGAAACUUAAUUUGCAUCUACCAAACCGUUCGAGGGAAAACCGUCACGUCAAAUAACCGCCGCUGACAGUGAUCAGGCUGAAUGUCAUAGGAUGAACACUGCUGGUGGGGUGUGUCUGUCUGUGCUGUCCUCCUUCCUGGCCGUGGCCGGGGCCCUGGCUGCCGCCUCCGCCCUAGCCCUCGUCCGCCUCUCUGCCCUGGCCGCGGCCACCUCCGGGGCGGCCGCCGGCUCCCCCAGCGCCGGGGCAGAGGGGCCCCUCUCCCCCGCCGCCAUCUCCUCGCCAUGCUCCAGCCUGGUGGCGGGCGUGCUCUACGGCUCCUUCUCCCUGCGGGAGCUCUUCCCCUCCAGGCUGCCCGGCUGCUCCUGGUCCCUGGAGAACCCCGACCCCACCAAGUACUCCCUGUACCUGCGCUUCACCCGCCACCCCUCCAUCUGCCAGACACACUCCCCCAUGCUGCUGUCCCUGGACCACCACCUGGCCAACCAGAGCUGCCCGCUGCGGCUGCACUCGGACCCCCCUAAGGACCAGGAGGUGGUGGACCUCUGUGGGGGGCGGCCGGCCGCAGACGAGCCCCACGCCUUCCUGCAGUUCGACAAGAACUUUGUGCAGCUGUGUCUGACGCGGCGGCCCUCGCCCGACGCGCCGCCCCUCUCCAAGGAGACGCUGGAGCUGCGGCUGGUGGAGGUGCUGCUCAUCAACAACGAGAACUCCAGCCAGUUCACCUGCGGCGUGCUGUGCCGCUGGUUCGAGGAGUGCCUGCGCGGCGGUCGCCACGGCGACGGCGACGGCGGGGACGGCUGCGGCAUGACGCAGACGGGCUGCAUCUGUCCCAACCACAACAUUGCGCCACCGGCGGUCCCGUUGCCGCCGGCGACGCCGCACGCGGCUGGCGGCAACGGCUCGCUGGCGCCCGAGGACUGCUGCGUCACCGAGCUGCACUCCAACGACGCCAUCGCCAUAGCGCCCCGGGACGUCAGACAAGACCCGUAUGAGGACGACCUGAAGGUAAAGACCCAGAGACCACGAUCUGCAGACCAGCCAGGUGUGUUUCAGGCACAGACAGCAGGUGACCCGGCGGCCGAGGAGUGGUCCCAGUGGAGCGUGUGCUCGUUGACGUGCGGCCAGGGCUGGCAGGUGCGCACCCGCUCCUGCGUGUCCUCCCCGUACGGGACGCUGUGCAGCGGCGCGCUCCGGGAGACACGCAUGUGCAACAACACGGUGGCCUGUCCCGGUGACACCGGGAUCAUCAGCUCAGUGCAUGGGCUGUGGGAGGAGUGGUCGUCAUGGAGUCUGUGUUCUGUGACGUGUGGGCGGGGCUCUCGGAUCCGAACCCGGAAGUGUGUGAACGGAGGAGGGGGAGGGGCCUGUGGAGGGCCCGAGACUCAGACCAAACUCUGCAACAUAGCGCUCUGUCCUGUGGAGGGCCAGUGGUUGGACUGGGCCCCCUGGUCCCCCUGCAGCGUGACCUGCAGCGUGGGCACGGAGCAGCGGCAGCGGCGGUGCAGCGCCUCGGUGCACGGCUGGGCUGAGUGCAAGGGGGUGCACCAGGAGAGCCGGGACUGCAACAACCCCCCGUGCAGUGGCGGCGGUGGUAACUGGGCCAGCUGGAACCACUGGAGUCUGUGCAGCAAGACAUGUGACUCUGGCUGGCAGCGGCGCUUCAGGAUGUGUGAGGGCGCGGAGGUCCAGGGCUCCACCUGCCAGGGGUCCGGGGAGGAGGUCCGCACCUGCAACGACAAGAAGUGCCCAGCGCCUCACGAGAUCUGCAAGGAUGAGACCCUCCUCUCCAUGACGUGGAAGAGAGCUUCGGCUGGAGAAACGGUCUACAACAAAUGUCCAACUAACGCCACUGGAUCUGCUAGUCGUCGUUGCAUGCUGGACAAUAAUGGAGUUGCUUUCUGGGGUCCUCCGAGCUUCGCCAGAUGCAUCUCACUUGAAUAUAGAUAUUUACAUUUAUCUUUGCGAGAGCAUCUUGCGAAGGGUCAGAGGACCCUGGCGGGGGAGGGCAUGUCUCAGAUCGUCAGGGGUCUCCUGGAGCUGUUGCAGAGGAGGAGCUACCACAGCGGUGACCUUCUCUUCUCCACGGAGAUUCUGCGAAAUGUGACGGACACCUUCAAAAGAGCAACCUACAUCCCAGCUCCCGACGACGUGCAGAAAUUUUUCCAGGUAGUCAGCUUAAUGUUGGACAUGGAUAAUAUCGAGAAGUGGGAUGACGCACACCAGGUCUCUCCCGGUGCAGCGAUGUUGAUGAGGAUACUGGAGGACUUCAUUCACCUCAUCGGCGAUGCGCAGAAACCCUUUCAGAGUGUCCUGGUGGUCACCACCAACCUCAUGAUCACUAUCCAGCGAGAGCCGGUGUCUGCGGUCUCCAGCAACAUCAACUUCCCCAUGAAGGGCCGACGGGGGAUGAAGGACUGGGCGCGGAACGCGGAGGACAAGCUCUACAUCCCUAAAGAGGUCUUCACUGCGCCCGCAGAAGAAACAGAGACCGAGACUGAAGGGACGAUGUACUAUGUGAUCGGAGCCAUCCUAUACAGGACGUUGGGAUCCAUCUUGCCUGCACCAAACCCCCCUGCGAUGAUCAACUCCAAGAUCCUGGCGGUGACGGUGCGUCCAGAGCCCCAGCCCAGCGAGCCCAUGGUGGUGGUGGAGCUGUCGCCUCUGCUCAACGGUACAUCGGAUCCUCAGUGCGUGGUGUGGGACUACGGCAACCCGGAAGCCGGAGCAGAAAACUGGGGCACAGAAGGCUGCCAAACGCUGACUUCAACCGCCGUCCACACCAAAUGUCUGUGCAGCAGGAUAUCCACCUACGCCGUGUUAGCACAGCAAGCUAAAGACCCGGACAUGGGGCCUUCCAGUAUGCCCUCAGUGCCACUCAUGGUGGGCUGUGGGGUCUCCUGCACAGCCCUGAUCAUCCUGCUGCUCAUCUACGCUGCCUUCUGGAGGUACAUUCGCUCGGAGCGAUCGAUCAUCUUGGUGAACUUCUGUCUCUCCAUCCUGGCCUCCAACAUGUUGAUCCUGGUGGGACAAUCACAGACACUGAGCAAGGGUCUGUGCACUGUGACGGCGGCCUUCCUGCAUUUCUUCUUCCUGGCGUCGUUCUGCUGGGUACUGACCGAGGCGUGGCAGUCUUACCUCGCCGUCAUCGGCAAGAUGAGGUCGCGCCUGAUCCGCAAGCGUUUCCUGUGCCUCGGCUGGGGUCUCCCGGCCCUAGUAGUAGCAGUGUCGGUAGGCUUCACCAGAGCGAGAGGUUACGGCACAGCCAGCUAUUGCUGGCUCUCCUUAGAGGGUGGUCUUCUCUAUGCCUUUGUGGGACCAGCUGCUGUCAUUGUACUGGUGAAUAUGCUGAUUGGAAUUGUGGUGUUCAAUAAGCUCAUGUCUCGGGACGGCAUCUCGGACAAGUCUAAAAAGCAGCGGGCGGGUGUCCCGGUGGAGGCACGUAACCGGCUGCUGCUGAAAUGCUCCAAGUGUGGCGUGAUCUCAAGCACCGCCAUGUCCAGCUCCACCGCCAGCGGCGCCAUGGCCUCUCUGUGGAGCUCCUGUGUAGUUCUGCCUCUGCUGGCGUUGACCUGGAUGUCUGCAGUGCUGGCCAUCACUGACCGGCGCUCCACGCUGUUCCAGGUCCUCUUUGCGGUGUUCGAUUCAGUGCAAGGCUUCGUCAUCAUCACCGUUCACUGUGCCAUGCGCCGAGAGGUGCAGGACGCGGUGCGCUGUCGGAUGGGCGGAUGCAAAGACGACAGCGAGAACUCGCCGGACUCCUGCAAGAACGGACAGGUGCAGAUCAUGAAGUGUCCCAACGUCAGCUACUGUGGCCAGCAGUGCGGCUCGCUACGCUACGGCACCGCCGCGACCCCGUGCCAGCCCAUGUCCUGCCACCAGUCGACGCCCCACCCGUCCCCCGUGGGCCCCCCGGGUUGCCGGCACGGGUGCCAGCAGGCCUGCCUCCACAGCCUGCCCCACCUCAACCACAACCACAACCGCCUCCACGAGCACAGCGCCGUGCUGAGCUCCGACUUCCACAGCCUCGCCCUCAUGAACCAUAACCACACCCACAGCCACCACAGCAGCCAAUCAACGGACUUUGAGAAAGACGUUGACCUGGCGUGUCAAACAGAGAGAGGACAUCCAUUUAUCUUCAAGGAGGUGAACACGUGCAACCCGUCCACCAUCACCGGGACGCUGUCCCGGAUCUCCCUGGACGACGAGGACGACCCCAAGCUGAUGGCCCACCAGGACGGAGGGGUGGGCCUCAACUUCAGCAGCCUGCCCGGCAACAUCCCCCCUCCAAACCUCAUCGUUCAGGUGCCCCCUCUGGGAGGACUUAACGAGCUGAGCGAGACGCCCCUCAAGAAGGAGGUCAACGUGGAGCAGCAGCGGCAGCAGGGGCAGCAGCGCGGAGGGGCCCCCGUCUACCUGUGCACCGAGAGUGGCCUGGGCUGGGCCCGAUCGCCCCCCUCGUCCAACUCGCCCCAGGACGGGAGCGUGGGGGGCGGAGGCUUAGCAGGAGGUGGGGGCAUGAUGGCAGGGGGAGAGGGGGACUACAUGGUCUUGCCCCGGAGGACAGUCAGUCUCAAGCCGCCGGGGCCCACCGGGAUAGUGGGGCUGGGGCUGGGGGGCGAGGAGAAGCCCCUCAACAUCGGGUUGGACGACCCCCCCUUCCCCCCGCCCCCCUCCCCGCUGACCCUGCACCCGGCCGAGAGCGAGGCCUACCCGGCCGACUUUGUGGCGCCCGGGCAGGGCGACAUGAACCUGGCCAUGAACCUCAACCACCGCUCCUACGGGACCAUCAAGACCAUGCCCGGCCACGGGAACAUGCUGGCGCCGGGCGGCCCGAUGGCGCACGCCCACCGGGGCCUCGUCCAGCACGGCCACUCGCUGCAGCUCAAGCCGGGUCAGAGGCCGUCCGUCAGGCAGAUCCUGACGACGGGGGGUGGCGGCGGCGGCGGCGGCGGCGGGGCGGAGAGGACCAUGACCCUGCCGCGCAACCUGGGCAGCACCAACAACGCAAACACCAGCCACUCGGCCGGCUCCCUGGAGAGGAAGAGAGUACGGUACUCUGAGCUGGACUUUGAGAAAGUGAUGCACACUCGCAAAAGACACUCUGAGCUGUACCACGAGCUCAACCACUCGUCCAAGUUCCACACCAUAGACAGGUAUAGCAGGGACCCGGCCGUGUCCGCCUUCAAGGUCCCCCCUCCCCCGCCGCCAAGACAAAGCUCCGAGCCAUCGCUAACCAGCAGAAUGUCGGUUGUUUACAAAGAAAGCCAACGUAAGCAUGCUUAAACCCUGUCUAAAUAACGUUCCCGGGAGUCAUAUUAACUACCCUUUAAAGACGUGCUUCUAGAUUGGAUAAUAAUUUGCCACUGUGUCUGUGGACCUUUUGUUUGUUGUUUUUCGACACCUAGCAAAAGCUACCAUUAGCCUGUGGUGUUGUUUUGUGUAUUUUAUUUUAUUCAUUUAAAAACCCACUGACAGUGUCAAAUUAUCACAAUAUUCAAUGUAGUCGCUCAUCAGCCCAAAGCCAGUAGUAUGUGAUUCAUCACCCCAUUGUGUCGUGACUGUAUUUGAGAGUCUAAUAUUAGUCCCCCCUAGUGGCAUUGUGGUGUAACAGACAAUCCAAUACACAGCACCCCUUAUUUCAACUAUCAAGGUGUGCAUAUAGUCAACCACCACACAAUUCAAAUGUGAAGUAAUGGGAGUGCUAUUUUCUUCUCAUUUACAUUUACAAUUCCUCUUUUAUGGAUUGUUGUGUCAGGCUGGGUUUAUGUGCCGUGGUCAAAUCUAAAUAUGCAUUUAGCUAAACUCCGUUUUGCAUUGUCUCGCUUCUUUAAUCUUUUGCACCGGUUUCACCUUUUAGACAAAUCAUGACAUUUUUGGUUAUUGUUUGCGAUGCCUCAAUCAAAAUAACCGCAACAAAGAAAAUCAUAAAAGGAACCAAGUCAUUAAAACGUCAUUGACCUAAACAGCUUUAUAAUCACCUGAUAAAUGAUUAACAAGCUCAUUAAAACAUAGCACAAAAUGAGACCAGCCACUGCGCACUCACAGGGGCUUUUCAUGAGAGGCUCUAAUUGGUCAAUAACCACUCUAGAGCGAUUUCAAAGGAUUAUAAGAUCAGCAAAGAAGUGAUCCGUUUCUCUUCGCCGGAAAGGUAGGAUAAUCGUGGCGACCCUUGAGGGGAUGAGUGGAUAUCAGAGCAUGUCUCCAAAAACACAAAGAAACCAUACCCACACGUGCUAAUAUUAUAUCAUUUCUCUCCGAUAAUUGCGGUGGAUUUGGGAUUGUCCUUUGUCAUCAACCCCACGCAGCACGUGUCUAAACAGAUAAAAAGCACCAAACUGAAGUUCUCUCUCACGCUCGUCUCCCAAAACCAAAUCACCUGUUUUUCUUCAUCCACGAUCCUACGAUAUUUCAAUUAGCUUUUACCGCACGGCCUUCCACACUGCCGCCAACCUUCCCCGUGUGUUGGUCAUUCAGGAAGUUAGCCACUGCUGCUAAUUUCUCCAUUGUAUAGCCUUCACACUGGCCCACCUGAGGGUGCAGCGGCAGUUAGCAUUCUGAGGGAUGAUGAGGUGUCAACCCCGAAAGCCGAAACCCAGCGCUGUAGCAAAAACUGCAGGAAAAUGGCAUUAUUUCCAUUCCACUUGCGCUGUAAUGGAGGCAUUUUCCAAGGCAAAAGUCAGUGGGUGCUGAUGGUUAUGUUCCAGGCAGCAGGCAGGUGGCUGACCGAUUAUGUACAAGCGGCCGCUGUCUGCGCACUAACGCUAAAGGUUGAAUACCCGCUUUCCCUUUUCCUCUGUUCACUCGCGCCUUCCCGCCGAGUCUGAAGGUUGCAAACCCACCAGCACCCCCAGCCACCCCUUCUACACAACCCUGUGUGUUGUUGUUGUUGACGUAUCCAUAGGUUGCCCAUGCAUAAUAGCCCGGCUGAUUCAUUUCUCAGUUCUGAAACGGCGUGUAUUUUUUCCCCUAUCCACGGGCGCAGUCGUUGUCGACUGUUCUGAUUAAAUGAGGCGUGCGCUGCUCUCCUCUGUUGAAAGAUAGCGGGGGAAUCGCACACGACGUAGCGUGAUGGCGGGAAAAAGACAAAGGAAAUAAGUGCGCUAGUUAGGCCGUGAUUUUGUGCCGCGCCGUAGCCGGGGAACGGACUCAGACGCGGCGCCAUCUCCAUUACAGGAGCGAUAUUUUCCAAUUCAACCCAAAUAGCAGCAGGGGGCACAUGUGUGUGAAUCCUGUGAUGAAAUUCGGAGUCUAUCAAGCUCUCUCUCUCUCUCUCUCUCUCUCUCUCUCUCUCUCUCUCUCUCUCUCUCUCUCUCUCUCUCUCUCUCUCUCUCUCUCUCUCUCUCUCUUCAUGAGAACAGGCGGAGAUAGUCCAAGAUUACUCUCUUUCUCUCCAUUAUGUCUCAACCAUAAAAGACAGGUGAUACUGAAGGUGCCCUCUUUAUGCAGUCACAGCUAAGAUUAGUGAGUGUUAUUGAAUUCAGUCAAAGCUCUCAAGGCACUGAAGGGAUAUUUUUACCCAGGCAUGAUUUGAUGGUGCCUUGUAUGAAAUGGAUAGAUAUCAUUUUAAAUGGCAAAGGCCGAUUGCUCAUUGAUUCUGGUUGAGCCCAGUGAUUUCUCCACAGUUACACCCCCCCAGGUAUAGUAAUCAAUUGUCUGGCAUUAAGCUAAGAGGUUUCGGUUUCAAACGGACGCAAUAAAACAACCUCUUUAUCCACACCCACUCCCGUGUCACUUCCUCUUCCCCUCUAUUCGUCCUGACGCCGUGCGGUUUCUCACUCACAACGCAUUUACCAGUUCCGUUUUGGAGGCGUUGAAUUAAUCAGCUAAUUAAUUUCUCCCAUUAUCUUGUUUUUAAUUAUUUUCAAAUCCCUGUCUCCCCCCCCACCUCUCGCCCCCUCCUCUCCACCUCGGGACCCGAGCGGGGUUGAGUUUAAAACCCAUCGACUGUUUUUCGUCGUCCUCUUUUACUCCCAAAAUGACCCAUGAAUACCAAAGGCUUGUGCAGCAGCACACCGCUCGCUUGGGCUACUUCCGCCCGCUUCUAUUAGCGGCUCCUAAUGAGCAGACCGUUAGCCGCGGUGUGGCUGAACAAGGCUAAGGCUAGCUUCCUGUGUGCGGGAGGCACAUUGCUAAUUUAGCUCAUUUGCCGGCCUCAGGCCAAUUAGGGCGAGGGUGAAAAAGUCAGAGGCGCCAUCCGGAAUGUUCCGGGACGAUGUGAUGGGCCUUGUGAACCGGACCGUGCAGCGCCAUCGAAUGGCCGCUGCUGAUUUGAGUCUUGAUUGCUUGUUUGCUCGCAAUGUGUUGCCCUAAUUGAAUUUAUUUACCAUAUAUUCUGUCGAUUUCAGUCUUUGAAGGGACUUAAUUUAUGCGGCACUUUUUUUGCACCCCAACAAUCCAAGGAGUAAUUUAUGCUAAAGACCGUUAUGCCCAAUUAGGCAAGGCAAGGCAACCAACUCCUACUGUUUUUUCUCUAGAAUAUUCUAGAGUGCCAAGACAGACAUGCUUGCUGUGUAUCAUCGUUGGUUGGACAUUUUCACUGAAAGGUAUGAAAUAUCAUCUAAAAGACGAGAGAGGGAGAGAGAGAACGGAAGGAAACGAGUGCAAAAUCUAAACAAAGUUUAAGUACAAAACAUUUCAUAAAAAAAAAAGCUGUAUUCAUUAUCUGGUAUCCACUCAAUCUGCUUCUGAUUUCAUGUCUGCUUCGCUUUAUAAGUUCAAUAUUGCAGUUUUGUGAAAUGUGUUUGUCUAUUCAUUGGUUUCUGUUUCUCCAGUUUUGUUUGUGUGGGACGCGAUCACUCAAUGUCUGUCCAUCGCGUGGAUAACUUUUUCGUCCUUUCAAACUAUUUGUUGUUUUGUUUGAUUUUAUUUGCAUCUUCUGUUUCUUUAUUUGUUUUUUUUGUUUAUUUGUUUUAUCUUGUCGGCUGGCUGUCAUGCAUGCUUCUCACCACCACCACCACCACCACCACCACCACCCCAGUCUGAAUGUAGCCAGACAAUCACCAAUACCAUGGGCAUCCAAGUCAACAAAGGACAAGUCGACCCCAGACGACCAGCACUCCUGGGACAGCUUCAAGACCAUGACCCCCGAGCUGUGCAUCGUCCCUGGGGAACAGAAGGACCGCAUGGAGCUGCACAACAAGACAUGGGACUCUUCCUCCGCUAACACGCCAGACUCAUCCGAAGGAGAUUUUCAGACUGAAGUGUGAAAAACAACAGACAUAUACAUAUACACACACCCGCAAGCAAACUAGGACACACACACAUAAAAC